UCGAGAAAAUUAGAAGAAAUUACAAGCAACGGAUUACCGUUGCAAACUAUACAGAUCAUUUGCCGUACAUAAGACCAGCACCCCUUAGAUGCGUGUUUCGACAAGGAAGAAGAAGAUCUUAGCUUCCUCAACUAAAUUUCUAGUGAUACGGAUCAUCAUCAUAGAAGAUUUAUUAUUUCAUCCCACGUUGUAAACAUUGAGAACUACCAGCGAAGAAAAUGGUAAAUAAAAAGAAAAAUAAACUGAAAUUAUUUUC